UAUGUUCCUGGAGAUGGCAUUCCUCCAUGAACCGCCGCGCAAGCAGCUGAUGAUGCCUACAGAUCC
rnacentral:ncRNA from 2 species